rnacentral:rRNA from 1 species
CAGGGAUUGCCUUAGUAACGGCGAGUGAAGUGGCAACAGCUCAAAUUUAAAAUCUGGUAUAAGCCUGAAUUGUAAUUUGUAAGAGGAUGCUUUAGCCUGUGGUUUACGGCCCAAGUGCCCUGGAAUGGGACGCUGUGGAGGGUGAUAGCCCCGUUAGGGGCCGUUGACCUACAGACAUGUAAAGCUCCCUUGAUGAGUCGAGUUGUUUGGGAUUGCAGCUCUAAAGCGGGAGGUAAAUUCCUUCUAAAGCUAAAUACUAGCUGAGGACCGAUAGUGUACAAGUAGAGUGAUCGAAAGAUGAAAAGCACUUUGGAAAGAGAGUCAAAUAGUAUGUGAAAUUGUUGAGAGAGAAGCGUUUGCAAUCAGAUGUGUGGGGGGUCGGCUCAUCUUAGCUAGUAUAGCUAGGAGCACUCCCUCCCCCUAUGAGCCAGCAUCAGCUUGGGCGGUGGCAGGCCCCAGUUAGGAAUG